GCGGUGGAUGCUCCCGGCCGCCGAGGGCGCCGCCGGCGGCGGAUUCCCCAUACGUGAGGGCGAAGCAGGCGCAGAAAGGUACCAAGAGGGUGCAUUUCGUCAGGAACUUGAUCAGGGAGGUCGCUGGGUUUGCUCCGUAUGAGAAGCGUAUCACUGAGCUUCUCAAGGUUGGCAAGGACAAGCGUGCCCUGAAGGUGGUGAAGCGAACAUUGGGUACCCACAAGAGGGCGAAGAAGAAGAAGAGAGGAGAUGUCCAGUGUCCUCAGGAAGAUGAGUAAUGCUCCUCUUCUUCCUCGACCACCUGAACCACCACGCCGGCGGGCUCCUGAAGCAUCAACUUCAGUAACGGUGACCAUCCAUUCCUCCAUUCCUUGCUUGCAGCUAGCGUUUUAGUUCUCCUAGAGCUAGCUAGUUUAGUCUGCUACUGUUUGGGGGUGCUUUGGGUUUCAAUUCACUGCAGCAGAAGCACCAUUCUUUUGCCUUUUUCAGUUAGAUGCCUUUGGAUUGUUUGGCAUUAGAACCUGUUCAAGGAGAUUUGCUUUUGGUAGAUGCAAAGUAUAGAUUAAGUAUUCCUUAAAAUUCACCACAUGAGUAUACUACUUAAUAGCCAAUAGUUUACUUAAUUUCUUUGCACUACCUUGCUGUUUGACCGCUAUUUUUAUGGUUUGGAUGUAUAUACGAGAUGGUGGGCUGUUGGAUGUGGAUUGUGAGUACACGGCAAGACUGAGCAUUAUUUUAUCAACUUGUUGUACACUUGCUCUGCUUGAGGCUACUAUAUAACUUGUGGCUUUUAACUUGAUGUGCAUAGCAUGCAAUUUUUUUACUGUAUCACAUUCACACUGUCUGAAUCCUACUACCCAUUUCUGUACAAUAUCAAUAGUGCGUUUGGUUUGCAUUGAUCCUUAGCAGUUUGUGUCAAAUGCAGGUGCUCUGCCUCUCCACGGGCUCGUUCACCAUUCGUUCAACUUCAGAGCU